CCUACGGGAGGCAGCAGUGGGGAAUAUUGCACAAUGGGGGAAACCCUGAUGCAGCGACGCCGCGUGAGUGAUGAAGUAUUUCGGUAUGUAAAACUCUAUCAGCAGGGAAGAUAAUGACGGUACCUGACUAAGAAGCACCGGCUAAAUACGUGCCAGCAGCCGCGGUAAU
rnacentral:rRNA from 2 species